GCCGACGUAGCUCAAUAGGUAGAGCAUUCGUUUUGUAAUCGAAAGGUUGGGGGUUCAAUUCCGUCUGUCGGCA
rfam:Sphaeroforma arctica JP610 cont1.2505, whole genome shotgun sequence.